UUAAAAUAGUUUAAUUAAAAAUAUUGAUUUGUGGAUUCAAAGAUUUUUCUUAAUUUUAACUU
rnacentral:tRNA from 1 species